rnacentral:lncRNA from 1 species
GGCAGUUAAAGAGUGGAUGCCCAACUGCUCUGAUGUAGGCCGCUCCGAAUCAAUUAUCCGAUAUAUGGCGUCUCUUGAAGGUAACUAAGAAACCUGCGACGCAGUUUUUGUUGUGCCUGCAUUAUUUGCUAUGCCAGAAUACUUUCCAUUACCCAGUUCUACUUUGGUAUUUCCUUCUGCAUCGGCUUAUUAGAUUUCAACCUUACAUGUUCAUCUUGGAAAAGAUCUUACAUCAUAAUUUGGUGUCUCCGUUCAGUUCUAAUCAAUAAAAAAAAUUGUUGUUUCUUGUAAUGAUGAACAUUUUAUAGUUGUAGCAUAAUUAGAUGAUGAUAUUGUUAAAGGUUAACUGAUUUAUGAACAUACUUCCAUUAUUAUUCUGCAUAUUGCCAUUUCUUUUACUGUAUACACAACUUUCAAAAGUUGGCUAGGUAAUUGGUUCACACGUAGUGUGCAGUGACAUACCUCAUGCAAAUAUAAUCCACGAUAUUGUCUAUUUCUAUUGUGUGCUCACAUGACCACCGGAAUAUUUCACUAAUUUAUAUGCUUAGGCAGGUUCACUGGAUGAUAUGCAUCAUGGAUCGUAGGUACUAUUUGGUUUAGUUUAAUACAAUCUGCUGAUAUUAAGGUAUAAUAACUGAAAACUUCCAGAGGUUAAUGGGAAGGCAGAACUGAUAAGCAUAAGCAUAAGCAGCUAGAAAUGUUUUGUCUGCUUGUGAACAGAUAAAGCCAAAAAAGAAUGUGCGUUAUGAGUAUAAAAAUAGCACGCCAUAUGAGUAUAAGUAAGAAUACUAAUGAGCUUUCGCUCAUGCUUAUGAACUGAUCCAUCUACUUAUAUAGAAUGAUGAGAUGUGAUCAUGCACGUGCACUAUCCAAUUUCUUACUACUAAUUAGAUAAGUUCAGCUAUAACGGAGUAUAAGUAAGAAUACUAAUAAGUUCAGCUAUAAAAAUAGCACGCCAUAUGAGUAUAAGUAAGAAUACUAAUGAGCUUUCGCUCAUGCUUAUGAACUGAUCCAUCUACUUAUAUAGAAUGAUGAGAUGUGAUCAUGCACGUGCACUAUCCAAUUUCUUACUACUAAUUAGAUAAGUUCAGCUAUAACGGAGUUGGUAUCAUGCCCUUUUACAUUGUGUACAUUGUUUGGUGUUCAAGAUAAAAUCAUGAUGUUUUUUUCUCAUUUGAAUGUGAAUGACAUGAUGCGUGUUUCUGUGCUCGUUGGUCCUCUUUUGUCCUGACCAUUAUGAAUUUAUAGCAUUUCAUAUAUACAUAAUUAAUUUUUCCCAUUUAGAUAUCAUAUGAUUUUCCUUCUACCAAUACUACUAUUUAUGGUCUCAUGCCUCUCUGUCAGGAUUCUCAGUGGUCUCAUGCCUCUCUGUCAGGAUUCUCCCAAUUUGAAAGAGGUACACAAACGUUACUUUCUUUGUCAGGGUUUGUCUACAUUUAUCUUUAAGGCUACAACCUGGAGUCUCAUGGGGGUGUGGAGAUGAUACCUAAGUAAUCUAGGGCAUUGCUUUGUUAGGGGUUCACUUAUGUACAAGAAUGGCAUGUUCUUUCUUGUGUAAUAUAUCGUGGGUUUUUUUCUGCUCAACACCAUCUAGACUAUGUAUCAUUGUAACCUGCUUUAUGGUUUGGACCUGAGCGCUGGAGCAUGGUGCUGGACAGGGAACGAGUCCCUAAGACCGCUCUUUGGAAUUCCAAUAUAGAUGAAGAUAGAAGUGAAAUUUGAGGGCCAACAAAUAUGUUGUAUCGUGGAUGUCCCCCUUUACAUCAUUGUUUUAUGAAAUGCACUAACGCUCCUGGAAGGUUGUUCUGAGUAUAUUUGUAUAUUUUUUACAACAAGUAUGAUUUGGUGUGAAGUUAUCCAAUGUCGUGUGAUGAACCUUGAUGUUUAGUAUUGAAUCAUUAGUAAGUGUUUAGUAACCUGCUUUUUUAGAUGUUACCUUUGUAGCGGAGUUGUUUUUGGCAUAACUUUAAUCUAUAUUGGGCAGUUGCCUUGCUUAUGCAUGGAUGUGCUGCAAACUUUGUUUUAGAUUAGGACAUUGCUCUCUCAUGUUCGCCCUCUUGGUACUGAACUGGAUGGAAGUGGUU